rnacentral:lncRNA from 1 species
CAAUAAACACAGAGUUCAAUUUUUGCAUCGUUUAUUAAGACAUUUUCAAUCAGCAGUGCAGGUAUUUUUAUUAUAUUGAUCUUUUGGGAACCGAAAUGUACAAUUUAUUCGGUUUGAAUCGGUCAACGACACUUAAUUUGACUUAAAAAAUUGAAUGCGUCAUUUGUCUUUACAUGUUUAGUUAAUUAAUAUGCUUUACGCAAUUAUUGCAACUAUAAAUUCUUUAAAAUAAAUUAUUAGUUUAAGGUUUGAAGUCAGAAUGCCGUUGACUCACUCGAAUCAAAUAAAUUAAACAUUUGGAUAGUAAAAUUAAAAUUCCGAAGGGUUGGAUAAUCAACUAAGAAUGAUC